rnacentral:lncRNA from 1 species
CUGGCUGGUGGAGACCCACCAAGGACACACACAGCCAGGGGCUGUCCCCACACAGGGUAUGGAUCCUGCACUGGAAAACGAACCCAGCUUCUGAGGAAACCUACCAAAUUUUGUUAACUUAGUCACGCUAAUUCAAUUUAUUACACUAGCAAGGGAACAGCGUGCUGUUCUGGCUGUAAAAAAUCUGGGGGUAAGAGGAGCAUAUUUAGGAUUGGUCUUUACCUUCAGGAGCCAGGGACACAGAGCAGGUCCACAGAUGGUUUUGGCUGGGAGGUGUUUGUGUGGAAGCAGUGGUACCUGUAGGUUCCUGCUCCCUUCUCCACUUGGACAAAACUUCUGAGUCAUCUUUGCCUUUGUGCCUCACAAGUUCAGUCACCUGUUGGUAACACCUGAGCACACUGUUGCCUUUCUUAGGGACUGCAGAAACGCACAGGGAGGUGUCACUAGCAGUCAGGUCAAGCAUGUUUGCUGCAUCAGGCUGAAGAAGAGAGAAAAUAUUAAAAAAAACCAAAAAACCAUAAAAACACCAGCCACCUUAAGAAAUUUCCAGCACAGUUAAUCACCUCUUACCAAUCUACACUGCAGUGGGAGAGCAGCCCUUAUCUUGGAAGGUGCAUUCCCCGAACCAUCUUCUGGUUGCAAAGAUUUCUGAAAGAAGCCACAUCAAUGAAACAAAGCCUGCCACUAGGAAGGAGCACGCAAAACUUGCAGAAAAUCUUCAUAUGUUGUCAUUUAAUAUUAAGUCAUAGCUAUGACAGUAGUUUUCCACCUCUUUCCUCAAACUGCUAAUAAACCAUUGGAAUUGUAUAAACCCAUCAGUAAACUGCACUCAGCAGUACUCUAAGAAAGGACUUGUAACUCUACUGGCACAAAAUCUACAAACAAGGUAUCUUGUAAAAAAAAUUCUCUGACUGGAGACGGGGGAAGCCCUACCCAAAAG